UGGGGAAUUUUGGACAAUGGGCGAAAGCCUGAUCCAGCCAUGCCGCGUGAGUGAAGAAGGCCUUCGGGUUGUAAAGCUCUUUCGGUCGGGAAGAAAUAGUUGUGGCUAAUAUCUGCAACGAAUGACGGUACCGACAGAAGAAGCACCGGCUAACUACGUGCCAGCAGCCGCGGUAAUACGUAGGGUGCAAGCGUUAAUCGGAAUUAUUGGGCGUAAAGGGUGCGCAGGCGGAUAUAUAAGUCAGAUGUGAAAUCCCUGGGCUUAACCUAGGAAUUGCGUUUGAAACUAUAUAACUAGAGUGUAACAGAGGGGAGUGGAAUUCCAUGUGUAGCAGUGAAAUGCGUAGAGAUGUGGAAGAACACCGAUGGCGAAGGCAGCUCCCUGGGUUAACACUGACGCU
rnacentral:rRNA from 1 species